rnacentral:rRNA from 1 species
GUACCUGCAGAAGAAGCGCCGGCUAACUACGUGCCAGCAGCCGCGGUAAUACGUAGGGCGCAAGCGUUAUCCGGAAUUAUUGGGCGUAAAGAGCUCGUAGGCGGUUUGUCGCGUCUGCCGUGAAAGUCCGGGGCUCAACUCCGGAUCUGCGGUGGGUACGGGCAGACUAGAGUGAUGUAGGGGAGACUGGAAUUCCUGGUGUAGCGGUGAAAUGCGCAGAUAUCAGGAGGAACACCGAUGGCGAAGGCAGGUCUCUGGGCAUUAACUGACGCUGAGGAGCGAAAGCAUGGGGAGCGAACAGGAUUAGAUACCCUGGUAGUCCAUGCCGUAAACGUUGGGCACUAGGUGUGGGGGACAUUCCACGUUUUCCGCGCCGUAGCUAACGCAUUAAGUGCCCCGCCUGGGGAGUACGGCCGCAAGGCUAAAACUCAAAGGAAUUGACGGGGGCCCGCACAAGCGGCGGAGCAUGCGGAUUAAUUCGAUGCAACGCGAAGAACCUUACCAAGGCUUGACAUGAACCGGAAACGCCUGGAGACAGGUGCCCCGCUUGCGGUCGGUUUACAGGUGGUGCAUGGUUGUCGUCAGCUCGUGUCGUGAGAUGUUGGGUUAAGUCCCGCAACGAGCGCAACCCUCGUUCUAUGUUGCCAGCACGUGAUGGUGGGGACUCAUAGGAGACUGCCGGGGUCAACUCGGAGGAAGGUGGGGACGACGUCAAAUCAUCAUGCCCCUUAUGUCUUGGGCUUCACGCAUGCUACAAUGGCCGGUACAAAGGGUUGCGAUACUGUGAGGUGGAGCUAAUCCCAAAAAGCCGGUCUCAGUUCGGAUUGGGGUCUGCAACUCGACCCCAUGAAGUCGGAGUCGCUAGUAAUCGCAGAUCAGCAACGCUGCGGUGAAUACGUUCCCGGGCCUUGUACACACCGCCCGUCAAGUCACGAAAGUUGGUAACACCCGAAGCCGGUGGCCUAACCCCUUGUGGGAGG